rnacentral:rRNA from 1 species
CCUACGGGAGGCAGCAGUAGGGAAUAUUGGGCAAUGGAGGCAACUCUGACCCAGCCAUGCCGCGUGCAGGAAGAAGGCGUUAUGCGUUGUAAACUGCUUUUAUAUAGGAAGAAAUAGACCUUGCGAGGUAAGUUGACGGUACUAUAUGAAUAAGCACCGGCUAACUCCGUGCCAGCAGCCGCGGUAAUACGGAGGGUGCAAGCGUUGUCCGGAUUUAUUGGGUUUAAAGGGUGCGUAGGCGGUUUAUUAAGUCAGUGGUGAAAGACGGUCGCUCAACGAUUGCAGUGCCAUUGAUACUGGUAGACUUGAGUGGGAUUGAGGUAGCUGGAAUGGAUAGUGUAGCGGUGAAAUGCAUAGAUAUUAUCCAGAACACCAAUUGCGUAGGCAAGUUACUAAGUCUCAACUGACGCUGAGGCACGAAAGUGUGGGUAUCAAACAGGAUUAGAUACCCUGGUAGUCCACACUGUAAACGAUGAUAACUAACUGUUGGCUUUCGAGUCAGUGGUACAGAGAAAUCGUUAAGUUAUCCACCUGGGGAGUACGCCGGCAACGGUGAAACUCAAAGUAGUAGUACGACGUGAGAGAGACGACGACGACGACGACGGAGGGAGGAG